rnacentral:rRNA from 1 species
UACGUAGGGUGCGAGCGUUGUCCGGAAUUAUUGGGCGUAAAGAGCUCGUAGGCGGUUUGUUGCGUCGGCCGUGAAAACCUGCAGCUUAACUGUGGGCCUGCGGUUGAUACGGGCAGGCUGGAGUUCGGUAGGGGAGACUGGAAUUCCUGGUGUAGCGGUGAAAUGCGCAGAUAUCAGGAGGAACACCGGUGGCGAAGGCGGGUCUCUGGGCCGAAACUGACGCUGAGGAGCGAAAGCGUGGGGAGCGAACAGG